rnacentral:rRNA from 1 species
AGUUGGGACGUAAAGCGAGCGCAGGCGGUUUUUUAAGUCUGAUGUGAAAGCCUUCGGCUCAACCGAAGAAGUGCAUCGGAAACUGGGAAACUUGAGUGCAGAAGAGGACAGUGGAACUCCAUGUGUAGCGGUGAAAUGCGUAGAUAUAUGGAAGAACACCAGUGGCGAAGGCGGCUGUCUGGUCUGUAACUGACGCUGAGGCUCGAAAGUAUGGGUAGCAAACAGGAUUAGAUACCCUGGUAG